AUGGUGGAAGUUUGCGUAAAUGUCGACUCAAUGUCACUGCAGCGAGGGAUUUGCCCAAACCUGAGACACAAAACACAAGAAGUUGGGGAAGACUCGGACUCUACUGUGGACUGGGACUGGCAGCAGCAGCAGCAGCUGUGCUGGUUGCUUUUUAUCUUUUAUUCAUUCACUCUGUACCUGAAGGUCACGACUUCAGAUUUCAGGUCAGUAGUAGAAGGGAACAUUUACAGCUCAGCAUAUGAUCAGAGGAAACACUUUGAUCAAUAAUGUAAAUGAGACAGACUUCAUGUGUCCAGACUCAGGACUGUACCUGUGUGAAGUGAACACACAUUAUUUGCUGGCAGCUUCUGAAUGUCACUGGUGAGUUGAUUCUGGAGAACGUAGUCCAACUUUCUUAACUCAUACCAUGGACACAGAAAAUAGUAGUUUCUCAUUGGCUGACAGGAAAUACACAAACCAGCAGGUAACCAUGGCAACAACUUCACACACAUUACAUGGGUAAAACAAAAAAGUUGCUAAAGAUUAAAACCCAUCCUACUUUUAUAUUCUUCAGUAAGUGGCCAUGGUAUAAGAGUCAUAGUAGAUAAACAGGUGUACCUCAUAUACCAGGUAUAAUCUAUUCAAUUUCUCUUUUAUUUACCUUUUAUGCAUUUAAAACUCUGUAAACAACAACAAUAAAAUAUGUUUUUCUUUAUAUUCUAUGGAUCAUGUAGCUGACUCCUGCAGGAUGUAAUGAAGUGUUCAGGUUCACUUAAGAUCCUUCAGAUCUGCCUGUUCUGAUGUGUUAUGUACACUGGCAAUAAGCUUUAACCUUUUCUUGUUGUAAUGUGCAAUUUAAACUGAAAUGUACUGUUACUGUUUUAUUGUUGCUGUUAUUUACUGUGUUACUGAUUAUAAUUUUUUCAUUGUAUGUGUGCUGUAAGAAAAGCUUUGAGUUGUUCACACUGCUAUUAAGGAUGAAGAUCAGCAGAGGAAGCUCUUUACUUUAAGUUAGGGUCGUCUUGUUUCAGUGGAUUUUGUUUUCCACAUGUUAAGGUUGUGAAAAGCUGUCAAGCUUUCAUUGGUUGCAUUUUGGUUUAAAGGAGUUUCACUAAGAAGAUUAAUAUUACAUUAUGAUAACAUCAUUACACACCUGAAUCAAGCAAUGUGGUUGUUGUUUGAAUGUUUCUGUAACUGGAAUGCAGCAGAAAGCAGCAGGAAGGUUUCUCCAUAUGUGAUUUAAUUGAUAACAUUUAUCCUCUUUUAUUCACUUUAUCUUAUGAACUUUGUUGUUAUUGAGUGUUUAAGAUUUUAUACCUUAAAGUUAAAUAAGUAAAUCUAAUGAAUCUUUCUGGUA
rnacentral:lncRNA from 1 species